GACGAACGCUGGCGGCGUGCUUAACACAUGCAAGUCGAACGGAAAGGCCCUGCUUUUGUGGGGUGCUCGAGUGGCGAACGGGUGAGUAACACGUGAGUAACCUGCCCUUGACUUUGGGAUAACUUCAGGAAACUGGGGCUAAUACCGGAUAGGAGCUCCUGCUGCAUGGUGGGGGUUGGAAAGUUUCGGCGGUUGGGGAUGGACUCGCGGCUUAUCAGCUUGUUGGUGGGGUAGUGGCUUACCAAGGCUUUGACGGGUAGCCGGCCUGAGAGGGGGACCGGCGACAUUGGGACUGAGAUACGGCCCAGACGCCUACGGGAGGCAGCAGUGGGGAAUAUUGCACAAUGGGCGGAAGCCUGAUGCAGCAACGCCGCGUGCGGGAUGACGGCCUUCGGGUUGUAAACCGCUGUCGCCUGUGACGAAGCGUGAGUGACGGUAAUGGGUAAAGAAGCACCGGCUAACUACGUG
rnacentral:rRNA from 1 species